AUGGUAGUGCAUUUGGGAAGGUCGGCUGCUACACAAAUUAAACAUAGUGGUGAGGAGAAGCGAUGGAUGCCACCAGCAGUUGGCUUGGCCAAGCUGAACACAGACAGGAGCUACAUCCUAGCUACAGGAGCUGCUGGCGGAGGUAUGGUGCUGCGUGGCGCUGCCGGAGAGAUUAUUUAUACUGCUUGCAGGCAAUUACGUACAUGCGCUAAUGAUUUAGAGGCGGAACUAGCUGCGUGCAGUGAAGGGCUGGCUCUCGCCCUCCAUCAUACUGAGUUGCCGAUUGUCAUUGAGAUGGAUAGUUUGGAGGCGGUGUAG
rnacentral:rRNA from 1 species